rnacentral:rRNA from 2 species
UACGAAGGGGGCUAGCGUUGCUCGGAAUCACUGGGCGUAAAGGGCGCGUAGGCGGCUUGCCAAGUCGGGGGUGAAAGCCCGUGGCUCAACCACGGAAUGGCCUUCGAUACUGGCAGGCUUGAGACCGGAAGAGGACAGCGGAACUGCGAGUGUAGAGGUGAAAUUCGUAGAUAUUCGCAAGAACACCAGUGGCGAAGGCGGCUGUCUGGUCCGGUUCUGACGCUGAGGCGCGAAAGCGUGGGGAG